ACGCUGCGGCAUGCCAUACACAUGCAAGAUCGAACGCAAGGCUUCUGCCUUAGCUGGCGCACGGGGUGCGCUAACGCGGUGGGCAAUCUGCCCUCAGGUUCGGAAUAACAGCGAGAAAUUGCUGCUAAUACCGGAUGAUAUCGCGAGAUCAAAUUAUUUAUCGCCUGAGGAUGACCCCGCGUAAGAUUAGCUAGUUGGUGUGGUAAAGGCGCACCAGGGCGACCACCCUUAUCUGGUCUGAGAGGAUGAUCACCCACACUGGGACUGAGACACGGCCCACACUCCUACGGGAGGCAGCAGUGGGGAAUAUUGGACAAUGGGCGAAAGCCUGAUCCAGCAAUGCCGCGUGAGUGAUGAAGGCCUUAGGGUUGUAAAGCUCUUCUACCCGGGAUGAUAAUGACAGUACCGGGAGAAUAAUCUCCGGCUAACUCCGUGCCAGCAGCCGCGGUAAUACGAGAGGGAGCUAGCGUUAUUCGGAAUUACUGGGCGUAAAGCGCACGUACGCGGCUUUGUAAGUUAGAGGUGAAAGCCUGGAGCUCAACUCCAGAAUUGCCUUUAAACUGCCUCGCUUGAAUCCAGGAGAGGUGAGUGGAAUUCCGAGUGUAGAGGUGAAAUUCAUAAUAUUCGGAAGAACACCAGUGGCGAAGGCGGCUCACUGGACUGGUAUUGACGCUGAGGUGCGAAAGCGUGGGGAGCAAACAGGAUUAUAUACCCUGGUAGUCCACGCCGUAAACGAUGAUAACUAUCUGUCGGGGCUCUUAGA
rnacentral:rRNA from 1 species